rnacentral:rRNA from 1 species
UACGUGAGGUGCAAGCGUUGUCCGGAAUUAUUGGGCGUAAAGAGCUACGUAGGCGGCUCGUCACGUCGGCGUGUGAAAACCCGGGGCUCAACCCCGGGCCUGCAGUCGAUACGGGCGAGCUAGAGUUCGGCAGGGGAGGAACUGGAAUUCCUGGUGUAGGCGGUGGAAAUGCGCAGAUAUCAGGAGGAACACCGGUGGCGAAGGCGGGUCUCUGGGCCGAUACUGACGCUGAGGAGCGAAAGCGUGGGGAGCGAACAGG